rnacentral:rRNA from 1 species
GAUGAACGCUGGCGGCGUGCCUAAUACAUGCAAGUCGAGCGAACAGACGAGGAGCUUGCUCCUCUGACGUUAGCGGCGGACGGGUGAGUAACACGUGGAUAACCUACCUAUAAGACUGGGAUAACUUCGGGAAACCGGAGCUAAUACCGGAUAAUAUAUUGAACCGCAUGGUUCAAUAGUUAAAGACGGUUUUGCUGUCACUUAUAGAUUGAUCCGCGCCGCAUUAGCUAGUUGGUAAGGUAACGGCUUACCAAGGCAACGAUGCGUAUCCGACCUGAGAGGGUGAUCGGCCACACUGGAACUGAGACACGGUCCAGACUCCUACGGGAGGCAGCAGUAGGGAAUCUUCCGCAAUGGGCGAAAGCUUGACGGAGCAACGCCGCGUGAGUGAUGAAGGUCUUCGGAUCGUAAAACUCUGUUAUUAGGGAAGAACAAAUGUGUAAGUAACUAUGCACGUCUUGACGGUACCUAAUCAGAAAGCCACGGCUAACUACGUG